GAUGAACGCUGGCUACAGGCUUAACACAUGCAAGUCGAGGGGAAACGACGGGGAAGCUUGCUUCCCCGGGCGUCGACCGGCGCACGGGUGAGUAACGCGUAUCCAACCUGCCUCUGACUGAGGGAUAACCCGUCGAACGUCGGCCUAAUACCCCAUGGUAUCGUCUGCGGGCAUCCAACGACGAUUAAAGAUUUCAUCGGUCAGGGACGGGGAUGCGUCUGAUUAGCUUGGUGGCGGGGUAACGGCCCACCAAGGCUACGAUCAGUAGGGGUUCGGAGAGGAAGCUCCCCCACAUUGGAGCUGAGGCACAGACCAAACUGCUACGGGGGGGAGCAGUGAGGAAGAUUGGGCAAGGGGCGAGAGCCUGAACCAGCCAAGUAGCGGGCAGGAAGACGGCCCUAGGGGUUGUAAACUGCUGUUAUGCGAGGAUAAAGUGAGGGACGUGUCCCUCAUUGCAGGUACCGCAUGAAUAAGGACCGGCUAAUUCCGUG
rnacentral:rRNA from 1 species